rnacentral:rRNA from 1 species
CACGUAGUUAGCCGGUGCUUAUUCUUCCGGUACCGUCAUCCCCCGACUGUAUUAGAGCCAGGGAUUUCUUUCCGGACAAAAGUGCUUUACAACCCGAAGGCCUUCUUCACACACGCGGCAUUGCUGGAUCAGGCUUUCGCCCAUUGUCCAAAAUUCCCCACUGCUGCCUCCCGUAGGAGUCUGGGCCGUGUCUCAGUCCCAGUGUGGCUGGUCGUCCUCUCAGACCAGCUACUGAUCGUCGCCUUGGUAGGCCUUUACCCCACCAACUAGCUAAUCAGCCAUCGGCCAACCCUAUAGCGCGAGGCCCGAAGGUCCCCCGCUUUCAUCCGUGGAUCGUAUGCGGUAUUAAUCCGGCUUUCGCCGGGCUAUCCCCCACUACAGGACAUGUUCCGAUGUAUUACUCACCCGUUCGCCACUCGCCACCAGGUGCAAGCACCCGUGCUGCCGUUCGACUUGCAUGUGUAAGGCAUGCCGCCAGCGUUCAAUCUGAGCCAGGAUCAAACUCU